AGAACGCAUAUUGAGAAACGGCCAGUGUAAUACGACUACUGGACGCGAGGGGCGAGCGAGAGCGAAAUGCAGGAAGUGUUCCACGUAUUAAAGCAGGGGGGUCCAAACUUUUUUCACUGAGGGCCACAGACAGAAAAAUAUGCGAAAGGUUGAGCCGCUCACUAAAGUUAAGGUAUAUCACCUCUAGUGUAUUAACAGUAAUACAAAUCAAUCAAUCAAAUGUAGGUAAAUUAUGUUUGAUAAUUGAAUAAACUUAAAGAAAAAAAACUGCAUAAAUCACAUCUCUCCAUUAAUGGGUUUUCAUUUUUUUUACGAAAAGGGUUGGCAGCUCAUCCUCAGAUUGCUUCUUUGUCAGGAUGGGGACCCCCUUCACAGCCCUGUAUAAAGAG
ensembl:lncRNA